GUAACUUCCCUAAUCGGCCAAAAACGAUGCAGCUUUCUUAAAGAGCUUUUCUUUCUCCCUGGGAUAAAUCUUUGUUGUCUGGGAUAGCCUGCUCUUCAGUUGGUUCUGGAAUACACGAGUCCAAGAAACUGCCCCUGAUGUAUGCUGUGACUUCAUUUUCCAGUGGGGAAUCGCUGAAAAUGUUCACAAGAGGUUACUAAUGUACAUUUAACGUAACAGCAUCAAAGUUUAUCACAUGAUAAAGUCUCAGCUGGAUCCCUUGGCAUCACACAUCUUAGAGAUGGGUACAUCGAGGAUGACCUGGCCUAACCCAAUUGGGUGCUUACACCCCUACCUUUGUGACCCCAUUAGCUGAAGUCAGACAACAUUCCAGAAGGGCUUGGAAAGAGUGGGGGUGGAAUAUGAAGGGACACUUGAUGACCAUCUCCUCGGCGAAGACUCCGUGUGACAGCCACCUUCGUACAAAGAUAACACUGAGUGCCCUGUUGCUGGAGCUCAGUGAAUUGGAUCAAACAGCCCAAUCAAGGUUCACCAGAUAUGUGCUUCUCAGGUGCUCAGCCUCUUUUGGGACAAGUCACACUAAUUUGUGAAAGUGUUAUUUUCUUUAACUUGCAAACAUUUUAAUAAAACUAAAUUAGAACAGCAGUCCUUUGUCUCUUACAGUAACUGC